rnacentral:siRNA from 1 species
GGCUUUGUGUCUUCUAACAAGGA